UGAUCGGAGCACUGGCCGUGAUCCUCUCGAGCUCAUCGCGCACUCUCAGCCCUCCGCAAAACUUUUCGUCAUUUUCCUCCCGGUAUUUCUUCAAUCGCGUCCUGUAUCCGUUAGUUCGCAUUCCCGUCAACGUCAUCUUCAAAUCGUUUCUGUUUAUAAACUACACGAUAAUUUCUUUAUAAAUUCUUCUUUUUUUUGUUGUUGUUGUUGUUUUAUUUUUCGUGUUUUUUUUUCACUCUUCUUUUUUAUUUUUCUGUCAUGACGCGCGAAAUACAAAAACAACUGUCAUUCGGAUAAACGUGGUGAUGAAUUUUUGUGAAAUGACAAUUGCUGUAAAAUUAAGUGAUUUUUGAGGAUUUUGAGUUCUUUGAUUUUUUUGAGAGGAUGCUUUAAAUUCUGAGGAGAAUCGUUGGGGUAAUAUUGAAGAGCAAUGGUCGUCGAUUGGCUGUGUCCGGGUCUUAGGCCCACUGGCAAUCGGAGGCCCCGUCUUCUUCACUGCAAAGUGAUUCUUCUCGAUGAGCACGAACUUCUUCAGGAUGUAUUGAGUUCAAAUCUGGGACAAGAAUUAUUGGAUCGAGUUUUUAGACAUCUGAAUCUUUUGGAAACUGCCUACUUUGGUCUGAGAUAUCUUGACAACGAAAAUCAAACGCAAUGGCUCGAUCCAAGCAAGAAAAUCAGCAAGCAACUCAAAUUUCAAAAGGGAGAUCACAGCCUCGACGUUCACACUCUCUACUUUGGCGUGAAAUUCUACGCAGCCGAUCCCUGCAAACUCAUCGAAGAAAUUACAAGGUAUCAAUUCUUCCUGCAAGUCAAACAGGACAUUCUUCAAGGGAGGCUCCCGGUAUCCUUCGAUCUGGCAGCCGAAUUAGGAGCAUAUGUCGUUCAAUCUGAGCUUGGAGAUUACGAUCCCAGGAGGCAUUCAAUUGGCUACGUGACCGAAUUUCGAUUCCUGGCGAAUCAGACUUCUGAACUUGAAACAAGAAUAGUCGAACUACACAAGACUUUAGUAGGGCAGUUACCAUCGGCGGCAGAGCUUAAUUACUUAGAUAAAGUAAAAUGGCUCGAAAUGUACGGUGUCGACUUACAUCCAGUUUUGGGUGAGGACAACGUUGAGUACUUUUUGGGUCUCACUCCAAGUGGUAUAAUAUUAUUACGCAAUAAAACCAAAGUGGGAAAUUACUACUGGCCCCGAAUCAACAAAAUUUACUACAAGGGAAAAUAUUUCAUGCUACGUGUGUGUGAAAAAAAUUCGGAGGAAAGAACACACGGUUUUGAGACGCCGUCAAAAGGAGCUUGCAGACAUCUUUGGAAAUGUUGUCAGGAGCAUCAAGCUUUCUUUAGACUUAUGGCCACGGGUCAACCGCCUUUGAGUCCAUAUUCACGUUUUCGCUCUUACAGUCCGCCGUCGGGUUCGGAAAAGCAUUUGGCAAUUAGAAGAAAUCCACCGCCAUUUCAAAGGACACCAAGUCGACGUGCUCAACGGCGUGUUGUCGAGGGUCAAGAAAUGGUCAGUCCUUAUAUUGAAGCGCCGCCAAUUAAUUCAAGUCCAGGAAUAAUAACCAAUAAUACAAUGUGCAGUAAUAUUCAUAGUCUACAUAAUGUUCAUGGUAUUCAGCACGUUCAUAAUGUUCAUAAUUCGAGACACGUUAAUUCAAGUCCAAGAAGUACAAGAAGCGCACCGUGGAUGCAAAGUCAACCACGUGGUCUCUACACAUCGUCUAGUCCUCGAUCCGUUCGUUCUACAGGAACGGCUCCAGCUCUCCUGAGCAGACUCCAGAGAAGGAGCAGCUCGGUGGAGAGUCAAAGUUCAGGGGAUAGUCAUAAUCGCGGUGGUCACAGGAGGAGAAGUCAUAGUCAUAGUCAUCGAAGACACAGUCGACAUUCCGAUUGUGAAUCCGAAAUGUCCCGGGGAUCUGAAUCCAGAUCUAAUCACCGGAAACAUCGACGGAAGCACAGAAGCUCUCGAAAUUCUAGACACGAAUUAAUAGACUCUGAACCUCAAUGGAGAGAAGUUCAAAGACGAAAAAAUGAUAGUGUUCAAAGAGCAGUUGUGAGUCAUACCGAGCCAAGAAGGAGGCACAGAAGUAGACACAGGAGUCCUUCUCAAAAGCAAACCCUACCUGACGAACUUAGAAAACACUUGGAGUUCAGUCUAGUCGACACUACAGGAAUGAGUGAACAACAGCGUCGUGAAAUUUCAUAUACUGUGGUACAAUCUCAAGGGAUACAGCAAAAUAUACUUCAAUCUAGCAAUCGAUUGGAUAAUAUUGUCGAUACAUCGGCGCCUAGAACGAAAAAAAUGAUUUCAAGUAUCGGAAUGUUAGACAGUCAAGGAUUCACUUUCAGAACAAUGGGAUCCAUUGGGAAAAGAGAACGGCGAGUGGUUCAUCAUAGUCGUGAGGGAAGUUAUAACUUUUCCACCACCCAAUCAAGACCAAAUCGAGUUUUAUCAAAGUAUCCUGAUACUAGGAACGAGUACAAUGCAGGGAGGGACUUUGAUAGUACUCAUAACAGCAGAUUGUUAAUAGGCAAUAACGUGGACAGUGGACUUGGUGAAAGCACUCCACAGGACUUUUCCAGCUGUUGCUCGAGUUCUGCUGACAGCACUAAACACAUUCGUGUAGGGAAAUUUUAAGUGAAAAUCGUUUUUCUGAUACAGACGCAAAGGCAAUUAGAAGCAGAGAGACGUUAUAGACUUUCAAAUCAAGAAACUUAUCCUCCUGUCGACGUUACGUUGGAUGCAGUUCUUCAACCAAUAAUAUCAACUCUUACACGAAGACCAAGAAAUCGUCCAAAAUAGAAUGAAGAGAAAUUUAAAUAAAAAAUAGUUCUUUGUAAUUGCACAUACUGUAUAAGAAUUAAGUGAAACUUUUUAUACCUCAAAAA